GGCCGCGGGAAUUCGAUGCAGGCCUAACACAUGCAAGUCGAACGAGAUUAUUCCGGUCUUCGGACUGGAAUAUGACAGUGGCGCACGGGUGCGUAACGCGUAUGCAACCUACCUUUAUCAGGGGGAUAGCCUCUCGAAAGAGAGAUUAAUACCGCAUAAAAACACAGUACGGCAUCGUACAAUGUUCAAACAUUUAUGGGAUAAAGAUGGGCAUGCGUGACAUUAGCUAGUUGGUGAGGUAACGGCUCACCAAGGCAACGAUGUCUAGGGGAUCUGAGAGGAUGACCCCCC
rnacentral:rRNA from 1 species